rnacentral:rRNA from 1 species
UGUGAAAAAAAUACCAAUUAAAUUGGAAGGGUUUCUUCAAACAACAAGGAGCUGGGUCAGCUAUUCAAUAAAAUGAUAUUAAGCAUGUUUCCCAUCUUUUCUUGAGAAACAAGUGGCCUAUUUCUUUGCAAAAUUGUGCUCAAUUUCAUAUGUAGUAGUUUCGCCAAGAUCUCUUCUUUAGUUGGGGGAAGAAUCGACAUGAAUCCCCUUUUUUGAGGAACAUAUCGAGAGACAAUUAGAUUUGGUUAGACAAUGUGUGGUUGGUAAACAAGGAUCGAUUUUUUUAGCAAGGUACAGAAUGUAACAUCAAAUAUUCAAUAUGAUUCCACAAGAUCUAGUUUUGUUCAAGUAAUGGAUUCUAGCUAAUUGAAAGGAUCUUCUGAUUGAUCCAGAGAUCAUUUUGAUUCCAUUAGUAAUGAGGAUUCAAAAUAUCGCACAUUGAUCAAUCAAAAAGAGAUUCAACAACUAAAAGAAAGAUCGAUUCUUUGGGAUCCUUCCUUUCUUCAAACGGAACGAACCUCAAUGUCUUGGCUAUUCACAAAACAUGAGAAGCAGAUGAAUAAUCAUCCACUUCAGGAAGAAAUCGAAGAAUUUUUAAGGAAUCCUCAAUCUUUUUUCUCUGAUAGAUGGUCAAAACUUCAUUUGGGUUCGAAUCCUACUAAGAGGUAGACUCGAGGUUAGAAAUUGUUGAAGAAAGAAAAAGAUGUUUAUUUUGUCCUUUACAGGUGAUCGAAAAAUAAAGAAAUAGUUAAUGUAUUCAAGAUAAUUACAUAUUUACAAAAUACUGUCUCAAUUCAUCCUAUUUCAUUAGAUCUGGGAUGUGAUAUGGUUCUGAAGGAUGAACUGGAUAGUUCCAAUAAGAUUUCAUUCUUGAACAAGAAUCCUUUUUUUGAUUUAUUUCAACUAUUCCAUGACCUCAAAAUAACGAGGGUCAAGGUCGGCCAGUGAGACGAUGGGGGAUAAGCAUCAUCGUCGAGAGGGAAACAACCCGGAUCACCAGCUAAGGCCCAUAAAUGACUGCUUAGUGAUAAAGGUGGUAGGGGUGCAGAGACAGUCGGGAGGUUUUCUUAGAAGUAGCCGCCCUUGAAAUAGGGCAUAAUAGCUCACCGAUCGAGCGUUCUUACACCGAAGAUGAACGGGGCUAGGCGACCUACCGAAGCUGUGUGAUGUAAAAAUGCACCGGUAGGGGAGCGUUCCACCUAGAGAGAAGCACCCACGCAAGCAGUGGUAGACGAAGCAGAAGCAAGAAUGUCAGCUUGAGUAACGCAAACAUUGGUGAGAAUCCAGUGCCCCAAAAACCUAAGGGUUCCUCCUCAGGGUUUGUCCACGGAGGGUGAGUCAGGGCCUAAGAUCAGGCCGAAAGGCAUAGUCGAUGGACAAUAGGUGAAUAUUCUUGUAUUACCCCUUAUUGGUCUCGAGGGACAGUGGAGGCUAGGUUAGCCGACAUAUGGUUAUCAGUUCAAGGACACAAGUUGUCCCUGCUUUUUCAGGAUAAGAAGGGGUAAAGAAAAUGCCUCGAGCCAAUGUUCGAGUGCCAGGCGCUACGGUGUUGAAGUAACCCAUGCCAUACUACUAGGAAAAGCUCAAACGACUCAAAAAAAGGGUACCUAUGCCCAAAACUGACACAGUGGGUAGGUAGAGAAUACCUAGGGGCGCGAGACAACUCUCUCUAAGGAACUCACAAAAUAGCCCCAUAACUUCGGGAGAAGGGAUGGUUCCUUAUAAAGGGGAUUGCAGUGACCAGGCUCGGGUGACUAUUUACCAAAAACAAAGGUCUCCUCAAAGUCAAAUGACCAUAUAUGGGAGCUAAUGCGUGCCCAGUAUUGGAAGGUCAAGGAAGUUAGAGAUCUGAUGAAAGGGGAGCCGACGACUGAAGCCCCGGUGAACGAUGGCAUAACUAUAACGGUCAUAAGGUAGCAAAAUUCCUUAUCGGGUAAGUUUCAACUUCCACGAAAGGCGUAAUGAUCUAGGCACUGUCUCGGAGAGAGGCUUGAUGAAAUUGACAUGUCUGUGAAGAUGUGGACUACUGUACUUAGACAGAAAGAUCCUAUGAAGCUUCAUUGCUCCCUAGGAUUGGCUUUGGGCCUUUCCUGCACAACUUAGGUGGAUGGCGAAGAAGGCCUCCUUCCAAGGGGGCCCAAGCCAUCGAUGAGAUACCACUCUAGAAGUGCUAGAAUUCUAACCUUGUGUUAAGACCUACAGGCCAAGGGACAGUCUCAGGUAGAUAGUUUCUAUGGGGAGUAGGCCUCCCAAAAUGUAACAGAGGCGUACAAAGGCUUCCUUGGGCCAAACGGAGAUUGCACUUUGAGUGUAAAGGUAGAAAGUAGAUUGACUGUAAGACCCACCCCUCAAGAAGGGAUGAAAGUUGGCCUUAGUGAUCUAACGGUGCCGACUGGAAGGACUUUCACUCAACAGAUAAAAGUUGCUCUAGGGAUAACAGGCUGAUCUUCCCCAAUAGCACACAUUGACGGGAAGGUUUGGCACCUUGAUGUCAGCUCUUCGCCACCUGGGGCUGUAGUAUGUUCUGAGGGUUGGGCUAUUCACCCAUUAAAGUAGUAUGUGAGUUGGGUUUAGAAUGUCGUGAAACAGUUCGGUCCAUAUCCGGUGUGGGCAUUAGGGAAUUGAGAGGACCUUUCCCUAGUGCGAGACGACCAGGAAGGAUACACCUCUGGUGUACCAGUUAUCAUGCCCAUGAUAAACACUGGGUAGCCGAGUUCGAAGUGGAUAACUACUAAAGUGGAUAACUGCUAAAAGCAUCUAAGUAGUAAGCCCAACACAAGAUAACUGCUCUCCUAUUCCAAUUUCCCCACAGUUUUCGAUAGCAUAGCUAAGACACCGAUGGGUUUUCUGCCCUUACAGGGGUGGAACGACAUAAUUUUUGAGAAUUCAAGAUAAGGUCAUAGUGAGACUG